rnacentral:rRNA from 1 species
UACAGAGGUGUCAAACGUUGUCCGGAAUUACUGGGCGUAAAGGGCGCGUAGGCGGCCUUAUAAGUCAGAUGUGAAAGCUCCGGGCUCAACCCGGAAAUUGCUCCGCAUACUGGCUAGCUUGAGUGAUGCAGAGGUAAGUGGAAUUCCUGGUGUAGCGGUGAAAUGCGUUGAUAUCAGGAGGAACACCCAUGGCGAAGGCAGCUUACUGGGCAUCAACUGACGCUGAGGCGCGAAAGCGUGGGUAGCAAACAGG